UUUCCUUUCCUCGUCAUCGCCCGCUUAGGUUAUAAGGGGAGCCAGAGAGGUGACCAAAGCGGCAGCGGCCUUGGGGUGCCGAAGAAGAGUGCGUAGGAGGAUGGAAAGGGGCUCGUAUACGACGGCUGGAAGAGAACUAUGCUCUCCUAAACCUGAAUGGGCCAGAAGUGACAAGACAGACAGAUCUGGCAGUCAAUUAUUCUUCAGUUUUGGUUGUGAUGUUUCAACAUGAGUUCAGAGCGUUAAUGCUUUGCUGAUGCGAGGAGGUGAAGUUGUAUGCUACCAGAGUGCAGAUAUUUCUUGGAGGAUUCAGAAUAUGAAGUUACUGGAAACAUUGUUGGAAGUGUUGGUCCUGAGAGCACAGAAAAGGAUUCAUCGUUUCUUAUAAAAACAUUACAAUCAUUCAAAGAAGCUUUGAUUAAGGAGGAUCACACAAAUGUUGCUGAGAUUGAGGCCUUCUUACUUUGCAUUGAUGUCGAUGAUGAGAAGAACUCUCUUAUGAGGAAAAUCAUUGCUUUGAAUUAUUGAUAACCGUGAGAGAUCGUGUCUUGAGAGCAGGUGCAGAAUCUGAAUUCUACAGAUUGAGAGCAGGUGCAGAUUCUGAAUUCUGCACACAGAAGACAGA